UACGUAGGGAGCAAGCGUUGUCCGGAAUCAUUGGGCGUAAAGAGCGCGUAGGUGGCUUUAUAAGUCCGUUGUGAAAGUCAAAGGCUCAACCUUUGAAAGCCGAUGGAUACUGUGAAGCUAGAGUACGGAAGAGGCGAGUGGAAUUCCUGGUGUAGCGGUGGAAUGCGCAGAUAUCAGGAGGAACACCAAUGGCGAAGGCAGCUCGCUGGGACGGUACUGACGCUGAGACGCGAAAGCGUGGGGAGCAAACAGG
rnacentral:rRNA from 1 species